UCGUAACACACAAACACGCACUGCUAUGGACUCGGCAAUGCGGAGCAAUGGCCGUACAACACGCCCAUAAGCUAUCGUAUGAUUGCUGAAAGGACGACGUCAUUGUCAAUGCAAUGUCGCAUGGUUUGUCUUCCAACCGCCCUCCCUGAAACGCAGGACCGGCCAUGAUUGCAACUGACUACACCUGCAUCUGAACAUGUGUGGAGCGGGAGGCCCUUAU
rnacentral:lncRNA from 1 species